CCAUGUCUUGUAAUUGGAAUGAGUAGAAUUCAAAUCCCUUACGAGUAUCGAUUGGAGGGCAAGUCUGGUGCCAGCAGCCGCGGUAAUUCCAGCUCCAAUAGCGUAUAUUAAAGUUGUUGCGGUUAAAAAGCUCGUAGUUGGAUUUCUGGCAGAGUGACUCCGGCCGCAGCAUUGCGAGUUGGGAGCGCCCUACCAUCCUUCGGUUAACCUUUACGGAAUUCACUUUCUGUGCUGGGGCUCCGAUAUUUUACCUUGAGAAAAUUAGAGUGUUUCAGGCAGGCUAUCGCCGGAAUACAUUAGCAUGGAAUAAUGGAAAAGGACUACUACCUCUUCUGUUGGUCUGGGAGGCAGCAGUAAUGAUUAAUAGGGAUAGUUGGGGGCAUUAGUACUUAAUAGCAAGAGGUGAAAUUCUCUGAUUUGUUAAAGACUAACUUAUGCGAAAGCAUUUGCCAAGGAUGUUCUCAUUAAUCAAGAACGAAAGUUAGGGGAUCAAAGACGAUCAGAUACCGUCCUAGUCUUAACCAUAAACUAUGCCGACUCGGGAUCGGAGGCACGCAAAAUCGGUCUUCGGCACCGUAUGAGAAAUCAAAGUCUUUGGGU
rnacentral:rRNA from 1 species